rnacentral:rRNA from 1 species
UACGGAGGAUGCAAGCGUUAUCCGGAAUUAUUGGGCGUAAAGCGUCCGUAGGUGGCUGAUCAAGUCUGCUGUCAAAGCGUGGAGCUUAACUCCAUAACGGCAGUGGAAACUGAUGAGCUAGAGUGCGAUAGGGGUAGCAGGAAUUCCCAGUGUAGCGGUGAAAUGCGUAGAUAUCGGGAGGAACACCAGCGGCGAAGGCGACUAUCUGGGGUGCAACUGACGCUGAGGCGCGAAGGCUAGGGUAGCAAACAGG